rnacentral:rRNA from 1 species
UAACAUAAGUAACCUGCCCUAGACAGGGGGAUAACUAUUGGAAACGAUAGCUAAGACCGCAUAGGUACGGACACUGCAUGGUGACCGUAUUGAAAGUGCCUCAAAGCACUGGUAGAGGAUGGACUUAUGGCGCAUUAGCUGGUUGGCGGGGUAACGGCCCACCAAGGCGACGAUGCAUAGCCGACCUGAGAGGGUGACCGGCCACACUGGGACUGAGACACGGCCCAG